rnacentral:rRNA from 1 species
UGCUACACAGUGAUGUGAUGCUAAUCUCAAAAAGCCGAUCGUAGUCCGGAUUGGAGUCUGCAACUCGACUCCAUGAAGUCGGAAUCGCUAGUAAUCGCGGAUCAGAAUGCCGCGGUGAAUACGUUCCCGGGCCUUGUACACACCGCCCGUCACACCAUGGGAGUUUGUUGCACCAGAAGUAGCUAGCCUAACUGCAAAGAGGGCGGUUACCACGGUGUGGCCGAUGACUGGGGUGAAGUCGUAACAAGGUAGCCGUAGGGGAACCUGCGGCUGGAUCACCUCCUUA